UACGGAGGGGGCUAGCGUUGUUCGGAAUUACUGGGCGUAAAGCGCACGUAGGCGGCUUUGUAAGUUAGAGGUGAAAGCCUGGAGCUCAACUCCAGAAUUGCCUUUAAGACUGCAUCGCUUUGAAUCAUGGAGAGGCGGGUGGAAUUCCGAGUGUAGAGGUGAAAUUCGUAGAUAUCGGAAGGAACAUCAGUGGCGAAAGCGACUUCCUGGACCAGUACCGACGUUCAGGCACGAAAGCGUGGGGAGCAAACAGG
rnacentral:rRNA from 1 species